GAUGAAGAACGUAGCGAAAUGCGAUAAGUAAUGUGAAUUGCAGAAUUCAGUGAAUCAUCGAAUCUUUGAACGCACCUUGCGCCCUUUGGCUAUUCCGAAGGGCAUGCCUGUUUGAGUAUCGUGAACACCUCAACUCUCAUGGUUUGCCAUGAUGAGCUUGGACUUUGGGGGUUUUGCUGGCCUUUGGUCGGCUCCUCUCAAACGGAUCAGCUUUCCAGUGUUUGGUGGCGUCACGGGUGUGAUAACUAUCUACGCCUGUGGUUUUCUGCCAGAUAACCUUCAGCGAUGGAGGUUCGCUGGGGCUCAUAAAUGUCUCUCUUCAGUGGAGACAGCUUUUUGGACGUUUGAUCUCAAAUCAGGUAGGACUACCCGCUGAACUUAAGCAUAUCAAUACGCGGAGGA
rnacentral:misc_RNA from 1 species